AGUUGGUUAUUGCAAAUAUUUUGCAAACACGUAAACAUCGUGUCGUUUUUGUGACGCCAACAACAUCCUAUGAAGUUCAUUUAAGUAGAGAACAAGCCUUGCAAGGUCUUGAAAUUGAGGAACCAAUUGUUGCUGAUGUGGUGCAAAAACACGGCGAAUUUAUAAAUUCUUGUAUGUCUCGCCAAUGACCAAUGUCAAUGCGACAGCAGCGACAACAACAACGUCAUCAUAUACAGGCUGAUUGUCGCGUGACAACGCCACAUUUUUGUCGCUUAUUAAAUCCAGGACCAGGUAUUGGACGAAGAUAUUAAACUGUUUAGAGAAAAAAAAACAACAAAUUACUAUUUACUAUCAUACAACAGCAACAACAAUAAUAAAAAAUAUAUAUCAUCAUUUAAUUAGUACAUCAUACGUUGCCGACAAAUUACAAUUCAGGUAAAAUUUUUUUUUAAUUUUAUUAUUUCUUAAUUUUGUUAGUCGCUACGUUUAGUCUGUCAGUGGUUUUUAUAUUUUCAAUACAAAAUAAGUAUCAAUUGUUAAAUUACAAAAGAAGAAGCUAAAAAAGGGUCGUCUAUUUUUAAGUCUUAGCUGGUGUUAUAAAAACUUAAUACUAUAACUCUGUAAUGUUUUUCUGUUUUAUUAUUAUUAUUAUUAACAAUAUUAUUUUAUAUACGUUUACGUAUUUUUGUUCUUUUGUUGUUCUUAUUUUAAUAUAUUUAUUACAAUUUUACGUGUUAAGGGGUAAAAUAAAAUUGUGAAACAAUGCAAAAAGGGAAGGAAGUAAGAGUUUAUUGAAAUAAGCAUUUAGUUUAGUCUACGUACUUUAUAAAUAUAAAAAAAUAAUAUAUAUUAUUUUUCUAAGUAACCUUUCCCUUUUUUUACUACUGCUACUUAUUGCUACUACUGUUUAGAAAUAAUAAUAAUAACAAUAAAUUUAGCACAGUGGGUUAUUGUUUUGUAAAGGUUAUAUUUGAUAUUUAUUAUUAGAUUUUGUAUCGGUCUAGAAAAUUAACAUAAAGUUGUUAAUUAAAACAAUUCAGUUCUAAUAUUAAAUCAUAGUUAUUUAUUAAAUUGUAUUUUAAGCAAGUUGAAGGAGUGGUUCCAAAUGUCUUACCAUUAGUAUUUUAGUUCCGAAUGCCUUAAGGUUUCCAUUUAUAAAAAACUGUUUUAUAACGAAAAUGUAGAUCAAAUUCUGAAGUUCAGUAAAUAAACAUGAUAUCCCAUAAGUAAUUAGUCUCCAAUUCACGUAAUGUCAAGAAACAAUUCUUUAAAUUAGUUAAGCGUGAGCGGGUUUUAAGCCGGGAUUAAGAUAUAGAGAUUAAUGCGAGAACUUGCUUGCAAAGGCUUAACUACAUGAUUAAGUUUUCCAAAGUUGCUAAAACAAUGCGUUGUUCACAAAAUAUCUAAUCUAAGGUUUCUUUACCGGGGAGAAUACUAUGCUCCUGCUUAGAAGGUUUGGUCCAAUUACUGCUAUUUAAUAAAAUAAGCUUUUUGAGUAUAUUAUGGCUUUAAUUGAACCUAAUCCGGCUGUCUUCGCAGCAGAAUAUCCCGGCAGAGUAAUUUUAGGAUUUUACCUCCGAAAUGACUCGGAGAAUAUUAGUCUCAACAUUGUGGUUUAUUUUAUAUAGUACAAAAAAGUAUAAAUGGGUCAUAUAACAUAAUGAUUACUUAGUGCACAUUAUAUACAUUUUUUGAUAACCUAUAUGACGCGGUGGACUAUCCUACAAAAACCGAAGAAUACCCAAGUUAAUAUCUUCUAUUUCAGUCUAUAAAGAGACGGAAAUCAGGGAUAUCUAAAGGUUACCAUUGGACGAAAUGACGAUUACGACAGAUGUACAUGAUCAGCCACGGCAUUAUCUACAGCACGCAUCAGUUUGUGUAUCGCAUGUGCGAAAGAAACUUUUUUUUCGUAAAAUCCACAGUUUGGGUAACUCUGCAGUCACUUUGGAAGUAGUUAUUUCGAAAGGAUGAGGUAUAUUACAUCAGAUCCGAAAAAACAGACUUAGGCCACAUUAGUUUGAACAGUUCUGGUGAUGUUUGCCAAAUAGACCGUGUGAAGUUUGGGGUAUUGCUAAUAGAUCCGUCAUUAAGAUUCUUAAGAAACUUUGUGCUAUCAUCGGUAUAAAUUUUGUUGCGAGGUUUAUGGAAUUUGCAAAGAGAGAACUUUAAUGAAAAAAAUUACAAAACUCAAGAGCCCCCAAAUCAUAUUGGUUCGGUAUCCGCCGUGAAGUUGCCUGCCAUCGGCGUGGAUUCUAUAUGAUUUUACUUCGUAUUUAGUACGGAAGUCAAUGACAUCGCAAAGAGAUACUUUGCAUGGAAAGCAAAGAAUAUGACAAAGAAAAGUGGCGUUCCCACGACAAUUGGAUCUUCGCUCCUGAACGACCGGAGUCAUACUCGGCCAAAUAUCGUCAACCCAGCGACAGCUGUAUCAACCGAAAGUUUUUUCCCCAGAAAAGAACUAUCGGCCACAGUCGAACUGUUACAACAACAAAGGAAAGUGUCUGAAAAGCUUCAAACCGUUCCUCCGCAUAGUUAGGACAUUAAACACCUCACAUGUAAAGACCCACAGUUUCUACAGUUCCAUAACCCAAAAACGAACUCAAGUUAGGGACAAUCUACUAAUUCUCACAACAUUUGUUGAUGAACCCCUAAUUCCUAACCUAAGUCCACACACUAACGCGGCAUAUAAUAUUCGUAAUCAAAUACCGAUGGCUUUGUAGGUAAUUUUAUCAACUCAAUGAUUAAAAAGUCCUAAAGAUGAUGAGAGAGACGAUGUUUUUUGGAUGAAUUUGGUCUCUUUUAGAUCUGCACUGUUCUUCAUAUAGAAGUUAAAGAUCAUAACUCCCACUGAGACUAUGCGAGAUCCGGACAAGCUAUUGUAUGUUUAUCUGAAACUAAACUUGUUGUAGUGUUAUGUUUCUAAAGAAGCGGUACCGAAUAUAACUGAAAAAUGUGUACAAUAAAAGCAGAAUAACUCAAACUCAACUAGUUCCACAGAAGCCUCUUUCAUGAUCUAAACAGUUUCAAAUAUGUGUUACUAAUGGAUGCAAUGACCCAAUCUAACCUAUUUAUAACAACAUUAAUUAGAUUAAAUAAUUGUUUUUAUUAGACGGCUUUGAUGAGACCUUAUGAAUACAUAUAUCCUGUAUUUCUUUUUAUACACUAACUUAAAACCCUAUCAAAAUAUCUCUUCUAAAUGAGGCUAAAAAAAUUUGUUAAAAAAAAACAAAUUAAAAAUUGACAUAUCUUUUAUUGUUCCUUAAUAAAGAACAUUUCAGUUCGAAAAGAAACCUAUAAGCCCCUUAAUAGAUAUCAUAUCUUAGAACUACUAAAAGUAGUAAUUAUAUUAAAUUAAAAUAUUUUCUAAACAACUAACUAACUAAACCCACUGUGCUAUUAAAAUUUUAUUAACAAACAAACAUACAUAUAAACUUUCCAAUUUAUGUACUAAAUAUUUCUUAAGAACCCCUUAAUAUAAUUCUUAAACAACCAAAACUUAAAAAUGAUGAUAAAUAAAAACUCCACCAAAAAAAUAUAAAA